rnacentral:rRNA from 1 species
CAGUCGCCACGGGAAUACGUAGGGUGCAAGCGUUGUCCGGAAUUAUUGGGCGUAAAGAGCUCGUAGGCGGUUUGUCGCGUCUGCUGUGAAAUCCCGAGGCUCAACCUCGGGCUUGCAGUGGGUACGGGCAGACUAGAGUGCGGUAGGGGAGAUUGGAAUUCCUGGUGUAGCGGUGGAAUGCGCAGAUAUCAGGAGGAACACCGAUGGCGAAGGCAGAUCUCUGGGCCGUAACUGACGCUGAGGAGCGAAAGCGUGGGGAGCGAACAGGAUUAGAGACCCCGGUAGUCCCUGUCUCUUAUAC